rnacentral:rRNA from 1 species
AUUGAACGCUGGCGGCAGGCCUAACACAUGCAAGUCGAACGAGUGGCGGACGGGUGAGUAAUGUCUGGGAAUCUGCCUGAUGGAGGGGGAUAACUACUGGAAACGGUAGCUAAUACCGCAUACCAUCAGAUGUGCCCAGGUGGGAUUAGCUAGUUGGUGGGGUAAAGGCGCACCAAGGCGACGAUCCCUAGCUGGUCUGAGAGGAUGACCAGCCACACUGGAACUGAGACACGGUCCAGACUCCUACGGGAGGCAGCAGUGGGGAAUAUUGCACAAUGGGCGCAAGCCUGAUGCAGCCAUGCCGCGUGUAUGAAGAAGGCCUUCGGGUUGUAAAGUACUUUCAGUGGGGAGGCGUUACCCGCAGAAGAAGCACCGGCUAACUCCGUGCCAGCAGCCGCGGUAAUUC